UCGGGAAUUUUGGGCAAUGGGCGAAAGCCUGACCUAGCAACGCCGCGUGAAGGAUGAAGUAUUUCGGUAUGUAAACUUCGUAAGAAUAGGAAGAAUAAAUGACGGUACUAUUUGUAAGGUCCGGCUAACUACGUGCCAGCAGCCGCGGUAAUACGUAGGGACCAAGCGUUGUUCGGAUUUACUGGGCGUAAAGGGCGCGUAGGCGGCGUGGUAAGUCAUCUGUGAAAUCCCCGAGCUUAACUCGGAACGGUCAGAUGAUACUGCUGUGCUAGAGUACAGAAAGGGCAAUCGGAAUUCUUGGUGUAGCGGUGAAAUGCGUAGAUAUCAAGAGGAACACCUGAGGCGAAGGCGGGUUGCUAGGCUGAUACUGACGCUGAGGCGCGAAAGCUAGGGUAGCAAACGGGAUUAGAUACCCCCGUAGUCCCUGAGCGGGCUGGCAAGGCGCAU
rnacentral:rRNA from 1 species